rnacentral:rRNA from 1 species
GAACGGAGAUAGGUGCUGAACGGAAGGUAGCUUGCUACCGGAAGUUCUUGCUUAUCUUAGUGGCGGACGGGCGAGUAACGCGUGAGCAACCUGCCCUUCAGUGGGGAACAACAGUUGGAAACGACUGCUAAUACCGCACAACAUCCUCUGGCCGCAUGACCGGAGGAUCAAAGGAGCAAUUCGCUGAAGGAUGGGCUCGCGUCCGAUUAGAUAGUUGGUGGGGUAACGGCCUACCAAGUCGACGAUCGGUAGCCGAACUGAGAGGUUGAUCGGCCGCAUUGGGACUGAGACACGGCCCAGACUCCUACGGGAGGCAGCAGUGGGGGAUAUUGCACAAUGGAGGAAACUCUGAUGCAGCAACGCCGCGUGAGGGAAGAAGGUCUUCGGAUUGUAAACCUAAGUUAUCAGGGACGAAUAAAAUGACGGUACCUGAAGAGAAAGCUCCGGCUAACUACGUGCCAGCAGCCGCGGUAAUACGUAGGGAGCGAGCGUUGUCCGGAUUUACUGGGUGUAAAGGGUGCGUAGGCGGGCUUGCAAGUCAGGCGUGAAAUCCCGCGGCUUAACUGCGGGGCUGCGCUUGAAACUGUAGGUCUUGAGUGAAGUAGAGGCAAGCGGAAUUCCCAGUGUAGCGGUGAAAUGCGUAGAUAUUGGGAGGAACACCAGUGGCGAAGGCGGCUUGCUGGGCUUUAACUGACGCUGAGGCACGAAAGCAUGGGGAGCAAACAGGAUUAGAUACCCUGGUAGUCCAUGCUGUAAACGAUGAUUGCUAGGUGUGGGGGGUCGACUCCCUCCGUGCCGGAGUAAACGCAAUAAGCAAUCCACCUGGGGAGUACGACCGCAAGGUUGAAACUCAAAGGAAUUGACGGGGGCCCGCACAAGCAGUGGAGUAUGUGGUUUAAUUCGACGCAACGCGAAGAACCUUACCAGGUCUUGACAUCCAACUAACGAGGCAGAGAUGCGUUAGGUGCCCUUCGGGGAAAGUUGAGACAGGUGGUGCAUGGUUGUCGUCAGCUCGUGUCGUGAGAUGUUGGGUUAAGUCCCGCAACGAGCGCAACCCUUGUUAUUAGUUGCUACGCAAGAGCACUCUAAUGAGACUGCCGUUGACAAAACGGAGGAAGGUGGGGACGACGUCAAAUCAUCAUGCCCUUUAUGACCUGGGCUACACACGUACUACAAUGGCCGUAAACAGAGGGAAGCAAGGGAGCGAUCCGGAGCAAACCCCUAAAAACGGUCCCAGUUCAGAUUGUAGGCUGCAACUCGCCUAUAUGAAGUUGGAAUUGCUAGUAAUCGCGGAUCAGCAUGCCGCGGUGAAUACGUUCCCGGGCC